rnacentral:rRNA from 1 species
UACGGGGGGAGCAAGCGUUGUUCGGAUUUACUGGGCGUAAAGGGCGCGUAGGCGGCCAGCACAAGUCAGUUGUGAAAUCUCCGAGCUUAACUCGGAAAGGUCAACUGAUACUGUGCGGCUAGAGUGCGGAAGGGGCAACUGGAAUUCUUGGUGUAGCGGUGAAAUGCGUAGAUAUCAAGAGGAACACCUGCGGCGAAGGCGGGUCUCUGGACAGUUCCUGACGCUGAGGCACGAAGGCCAGGGGAGCAAACGGG